rnacentral:lncRNA from 1 species
ACGAAGGCAAUUUUCUUUCUGGCCAUUCAGGGAGAGGGGUGUUCCAGUUUCAGGAACAGAAUUAAGGGAGCAAGCUGGUGUUCACCGCACCCUCCAGUGAUCUCUGAUGAUAUGAGGGGAUAAUGGGUUACAAAGACAGACAUUAAUAAGCUACUUGUGCAAGAAGUUACAAUGAGAAAAAAAAAUUGCAAGAAAUAGAUGAGGGAAGGAGGUGCUGUAGAGAGAAAAACAAAGAGAGAAAAGGAGAAUGAAUUGUGCUGAGAUAGAGAUGCCUGGAUGAAAAAGCUGGCCCUAGCACCCAUAAAGCUGGAAAGAAAGUGGGGCCUUGGAAACUUCUGGAAGGAUGUGAGGAAAGAAAAAGGCAAGGAAAUGAGAUGGAGAGGAGAAAGAGAAACCAGGAAGCACUUCAGAAGCAUGUAAAUUGCAAGGAAAUGAGGAACAGCCUUUGUCUGUGAAGUCUGUGCUAGUGCUGAGAGCUUCAUUUUACUGUCCUGGCAAGGAGGUGUGGCCCCUCUCCAGUGCCCAGCACCUCAUUGCUAUGGUAACAGAAGACACGCUGAUUAUCCGGAUUUUGCCUCAGAGACUUAG